GAGCACGUGGUAUGAGUACAGGCGCGAGCUCUCAUCAGUACUGUUUUAAAACUAACGUACGUGGUAAAAUUACGCCGUUUUUCAACAAAAAUGGCGUUGUUGUUACAAAAAUCCCAUUAAGUGUCCGGCUUUUUGUUUGUGCUGUGGAGAGCUGAAAGGCGGUACUUUGGAGGUGAUGAAGAAAAUGAGACUUGCAACAUUGCUGUUCCAGCUGAGUUCAGCUGAGGCAGAAAACUCAUAACUGAAGAUGUACUGGCACCAUGGAUGAGACUGCAUCAAACGUAAAGAUACAGCGGUUAAGGUGAAACGCCUGGAUUGGACUUGUGACUUAAUGCAGGUUGGUGAAUAUGAUGUCAGCCAUUUUGCAUAGACAGAUGCAUACAGGCUCACAAAUUAUGUGUGUUCUCAUCUAUAUAUCUCUUAAACAACAUUCAUUUUAACUCUGCAGUGAAAUAUCUACAAUAUAGUUCCCUCCUAUUUAGAAAAUAAAACAUAUAUAGUCCAAAUUGUGCAGAAUAAAAACGGUUUUGAUGAUAGAGUAGGUAUAGUCUUGCCAAGUGUUUAUCAGUAAAAACAAAAAAGUGCCAUGCAUACAUUUUUCAAAUCUUACUACAUGAAUGGCUGCACUGAAAAUGUUAUUUUCCCUAUUUGUAGUUUUAUACAGUGUUUCUGCACUGUUUUUCCCUGCUGCUUCUCUGAAGACAUACAAUGUGUAUGGCCAUUGAUAUGCCCUAACAGAGGUCACAAUUUGCAUGAGAAUUAACAGCUAGUAAAUUAAAUUG